rnacentral:rRNA from 1 species
UAAGACGAAGGUGGCGAGCGUUGUUCGGUGUCACUGGGCUUAAAGCAUGUGUAGGCGGAAGAGUAAGCGUCUUGUGAAAGCCCUCGGCUUAACCGAGGAACUGCUGGACGAACUACUCUUCUUGAGGCAGGCAGGGGUGCACGGAACUCUUGGUGGAGCGGUGAAAUGCGUAGAUAUCAAGAGGAACGCCGGUGGUGAAGACGGUGCACUGGGCCUGUUCUGACGCUCAGACACGAAAGCGUGGGGAGCAAACGGGAUUAGAUACCCCGGUAGUCCACGCCGUAAACGAUGUCUACUAGGUUGUGGGAGUUCUGACGCUAUCACGGCCGAAGCAAAAGUGUUAAGUAGACCGCCUGGGUAGUACGGCCGCAAGGCUA